UACGUAGGGUCCGAGCGUUGUCCGGAAUUACUGGGCGUAAAGCGUGCGCAGGCGGCUUUCCAAGCGCCACGUGAAAGCCCCGGGCUCAACCCGGGAGGGUCGUGGCGAACUGGGAGGCUUGAGGCCGGUAGAGGUGGGUGGAACUCCUGGUGGAGUGGUGAAAUGCGUUGAUAUCCGCAGGAACUCCGGUGGCGAAGGCGGCGUGCUGGACCCCUUCUGACGCUGAGGCGCGAAAGCCAGGGGAGCGAACGGG
rnacentral:rRNA from 1 species